UAAUACGUAGGGGGCAAACGUUGCUCGGAAUUACUGGGCGUAAAGGGUGUGUAGGUGGCCGAGUAAGUCAAAGAUGAAAUCCCUAGGCUCAACCUAGGAAUUGUUUUUGAAACUGCUCAGCUUGAGGAUAGUUGAGGUAAAUGGAAUUCCCGGUGGAGCGGUGAAAUGCGUAGAUAUCGGGAGGAACACCAGAGGCGAAGGCGGUUUACUGAGCUAUUCCUGACACUGAGACACGAAAGCUAGGGGAGCGAACGGGAUUAGAUACCCCGGUAGUCCUAGCCGUAAACGAUGGGUACUAGAUGUUCUUGCUUUAAUGCAGGAGUGUCGAAGCUAACGCAUUAAGUACCCCGCCUGGGGAGUACGGUCGCAAGGCUG
rnacentral:rRNA from 1 species